CCCAAGACCCUUGGAAAGCCCUGCAUCUUCAGAGCCUUGGUUGGAAGCAGAGAAGUCAAGAUUUCUCAUUUCCCAGUAAGAAUUUAUGUUCUCUUUAGUACAAAAAGCAAAAUUAAAUCCUGGAAGUUUUCCCGCUGCCAGAGCCUAGCAGUGCUGCGCUGAGUGUUUCACUCUGCAACAUCUCAUCGCCUCCUCGCGGCGCACCAUGACUUCAUACUCUUUGCACUUGUCUUUAAAUUACCCUUGGGCAUUUCAGUGCUGCCCACUGCUCCUUCCUUCCUAGUGAAGAUUGAACUUCACUAAGAUGAGGGGCACUGUGCCAGGUAACCUUGAACUCCACCACGAGCAAAGGGUAACUCCUUGGACAGCUGAGGUGAGAGAAAGACCAGAGCACAGCAUCACCCAAAGACCUACGUUUGCAGACGAGGUGAGGCUGUUGAACAGACACCUGGAUGACCACCUUCUUACCAAUGUCAGUAUUGUCAUUUGCAAAAAUUGCCAGCUUUAUUAUGAAAAGCGACAGCUUAUCUUUGUUGCUUUUUAAUAAAUAAGAUUAAAAGUUUAAAAAUAUUCA